GCUGGGCAUGGUGGCGUGUGCCUGUAGUCCCAGCUACUCAGGAGGCUGAGGCAGGAGAAUCACUUGAACCUGGGAGGUGGAGGUUGCAGUGAGCCAAGAUCACACCACUGCAGUCCAGCCUGGGUGACAGAGUGAGAUUCUGUCUCAA
rnacentral:SRP_RNA from 1 species